rnacentral:rRNA from 1 species
CCCUUAGAUGUCCGGGGCCGCACGCGCGCUACACUGAAGGAAUCAGCGUGGCUUUCUCCCUGACCCGAAAGGGUUGGGAAACCCGUUGAAUCUCCUUCGUGAUAGGGAUUGGGGCUUGAAAUUGUUCCCCAUGAACGAGGAAUUCCCAGUAAGCGCGAGUCAUAAGCUCGCGUUGAUUACGUCCCUGCCCUUUGUACACACCGCCCGUCGCUCCUACCGAUUGAAUGUUCCGGUGAGCUCUUCGGACUGCGCGGUCUGCAGUUUCUGCGUUCCGUGCGGAAAGUUGCGCAAACCCUAACAUUUAGAGGAAGGAGAAGUCGUAACA